UAGCUCAGCUGGUAGAGCAUGAGACUUUUAAUCUCAGAAUCAUGGGUUCAUGACCCAA
rnacentral:tRNA from 1 species